AUUGGACGCUGGCGGCAUGCUUUACACAUGCAAGUCGAACGGCAGCGCGGGCUUCGGCCUGGCGGCGAGUGGCGAACGGGUGAGUAAUACAUCGGAACGUGCCCAGUAGUGGGGGAUAGCUCGGCGAAAGCCGGAUUAAUACCGCAUACGACCUGAGGGUGAAAGCGGGGGAUCUUCGGACCUCGCGCUAUUGGAGCGGCCGAUGGCGGAUUAGCUAGUUGGUGGGGUAAAGGCCUACCAAGGCGACGAUCUGUAGCUGGUCUGAGAGGACGACCAGCCACACUGGGACUGAGACACGGCCCAGACUCCUACGGGAGGCAGCAGUGGGGAAUUUUGGACAAUGGGCGAAAGCCUGAUCCAGCAAUGCCGCGUGUGUGAUGAAGGCCUUCGGGUUGUAAAGCACUUUUGGCGGGAACGAAAAGGACUGUGCCAAUACCACGGUUCGAUGACGGUACCCGCAGAAUAAGCACCGGCUAACUACGUG
rnacentral:rRNA from 1 species